UACGUAGGCAGCGAGCGUUGCUCGGAAUCACUGGGCGUAAAGCGCACGUAGGCGGACUCUUAGGUCGGUGGUGAAAUCCUGGAGCUCAACUCCAGAACUGCCUUCGAUACUGAGAGUCUCGAGUCCGGGAGAGGUGAGUGGAACUGCGAGUGUAGAGGUGAAAUUCGUAGAUAUUCGCAAGAACACCAGUGGCGAAGGCGGCUCACUGGCCCGGUACUGACGCUGAGGUGCGAAAGCGUGGGGAGCAAACAGG
rnacentral:rRNA from 1 species